CCUACGGGUGGCAGCAGUGGGGAAUAUUGCACAAUGGGCGAAAGCCUGAUGCAGCAACGCCGCGUGAAGGAAGACGGUUUCCGGAUUGUAAACUUCCGUUCUUAGUGAAGAAUAAUGACGGUAACUAAGGAGCAAGCCACGGCUAAAUACGUGCCAGCAGCCGCGGUAAUACGUAGGUGGCAAGCGUUGUCCGGAAUUACUGGGUGUAAAGGGAGCGUAGGCGGGAAGCCAAGUCAUCUGUGAAAACUACGGGCUUAACCUGUAGCCUGCAGUUGAAACUGGCUUUCUUGAGAGGAGUAGAGGUUGGCGGAAUUCCGAGUGUAGCGGUGAAAUGCGUAGAUAUUAGGAAGAACACCGAUGGCGAAGGCGGUAUGCUGGA
rnacentral:rRNA from 1 species